rnacentral:rRNA from 1 species
AGAACGAACGCUGGCGGCAUGCCUAACACAUGCAAGUCGAACGAACCCUUCGGGGUUAGUGGCGCACGGGUGCGUAACGCGUGGGAAUCUGCCCUUAGGUACGGAAUAACUCAGGGAAACUUGUGCUAAUACCGUAUGAUGUCGAGAGACCAAAGAUUUAUCGCCUAGGGAUGAGCCCGCGUAGGAUUAGCUAGUUGGUGGGGUAAAGGCCUACCAAGGCUACGAUCCUUAGCUGGUCUGAGAGGAUGAUCAGCCACACUGGGACUGAGACACGGCCCAGACUCCUACGGGAGGCAGCAGUGGGGAAUAUUGGACAACGGGCGAAAGCCUGAUCCAGCAAUGCCGCGUGAGUGAAGAAGGCCUUCGGGUUGUAAAGCUCUUUUACCCGGGAAGAUAAUGACUGUACCGGGAGAAUAAGCCCGGCUAACUCCGUGCCAGCAGCCGC